CGCAAACAUACACACACACACACACACACACUUACAUACAUAGUUAUACGAAAAUGGUGCAAAGUUUGUUUCGGUUUGAACUCGGAAAUACCAACGAAAUGGACUAAAAUAAGAAUGCCAUAUAAAAGUGGCGAAGGGAACGCAAAAUAACACAAAAGGAACGAAUUAAACAGGAGAGUAACAGUAACCAGAGAGAGAAACAGAGAGCUCAUUAGGGACCAAAAGGACGUUGAUUCGCUGCUCUAAUAUCUCAUCAGAACUCAGCGAACAGAAGCCAUUAUCGAAGCACGAGCCACAGAACCCAUUCGACGAUUAAUUGCGAUUAAAAUGUAUUGUAAACAACAAGAGCUGAUG